rnacentral:rRNA from 1 species
GUUUGAUCAUGGCUCAGGAUGAACGUUGGCGGCGUGCCUAACACAUGCAAGUCGAACGCAAAUAGCAAUAUUUGAGUGGCGCACGGGUGAGUAACACGUAGCUUACCUCCCUCCAAGCGUGGGAUAACGUUCCGAAAGGAAUGCUAAUACCGCAUAAGCUCACGAGCUAUAGAGGCUUGUGAGAAAAGGGGCAACUCACUUGGAGACGGGGCUGCGGCCCAUCAGCUAGUUGGUGAGGUAACGGCUCACCAAGGCGACGACGGGUAGGGGACCUGAGAGGGUGACCCCCCACACUGGGACUGAGACACGGCCCAGACUCCUACGGGAGGCAGCAGUGAGGAAUAUUGCACAAUGGGCGCAAGCCUGAUGCAGCGACGCCGCGUGAGUGAAGAAGGCCUUCGGGUCGUAAAGCUCUUUUCUGCGUGACGAGCAAGGACGGUAGCGCAGGAAUAAGUCUCGGCUAACUACGUGCCAGCAGCCGCGGUAAAACGUAGGAGACAAACGUUAUCCGGAGUUACUGGGCGUAAAGGGCGUGUAGGCGGUUUGUUAAGUCUGGCGUGAAAGCUCUCGGCUAAACCGGGAGAGGUCGUUGGAUACUGGCAAACUUGAGGAUGGUAGAGGCGUGUGGAAUUCCGGGUGUAGUGGUGAAAUGCGUAGAGAUCCGGAGGAACACCAGUGGCGAAGGCGACACGCUGGGCCGUACCUGACGCUAAAGCGCGACAGCAUGGGGAGCAAACGGGAUUAGAAACCCCGGUAGUCCAUGCCGUAAACGAUGUCAGCUAGGUGUUCGAGACUCGCAAGAGGCUGGGUACCGAAGCAAACGCGAUAAGCUGACCGCCUGGGGAGUACGGUCGCAAGGCUAAAACUCAAAUGAAUUGAC